rnacentral:lncRNA from 1 species
UCCAAAAGUUCAAACUGUAAUCCAAAUCUCAUCGGUCAACAAAAGUUUGAUUUGCCUGAAUUCAAGCCCAAUUUACUUACUCUUUGAAUAGGAGAAUUCAUUAAACUUACUGUCUGUAUUGUAGAAUUUAUGAUUUUUGAUUCCUCUAUUAAAUUUUACAUGUCUUAAUCAAGAUACAUGAAUAAUUUAUUUUGUGUAUUUUUCGAC